CUCUCGAUCCGCACGGCCCCGCCCAUAACGCGGAUAAAAUCCACCUGAAUCGCAUUAAUGACAUGUUUAUCCCGCUAUUUCCUCUGCCUCAGUCCUUUCCAUCUUCCCAAAUUCCCCAAAUUGCGUCGUCCCCAUAGUCCCGUCCACCAUAUCACCUCCAAGCGAUCCCAGCGCCGCCGAUCUCCCGUGCCGCCACCACCUCCGCCGCCUCCUGGACAAGAGGCCACCACCAUUGAGCACCACUUCGGUGCGCCUGGUUGCCACCACGACUCUGGCCUUGGAAGGUCGUCCUACUGUCCUGGAUCGGGGAGGAGGCACGAUUUGGAUCUGGGCGGCGACGGCUAAGCAAGGGCACCUAUGCUAUCGAGGUACAUCUCUUCCCACUCUCCCCGCCUCCCUCUCUCUUCCCCGCCGGGGUCGCCGUGAGCCCGUGACCGUGGACUGGCGGGGAAUGGGGAGCUUCAACAGUGAGGAACGGGGAGCACGGGUGCUCUGCUGGUGGAGGCAUGUUUUGGGACGGGGAGACCUCUAGCCGUGUGGAAUGAAGUGAGCUUUGGAUGCAAACUGAAUUUCAUCUCUCUCGGUUCUUGUUUUCUGCUGAUAGCACAUAAUAACAUUGGUAAUGUUGAGCCGACAAAGAGAAGUAGCAGACUAAUUUCUAUGUCGACAAAUGAUGAUUUGCUCCCCGUAUGUGGUUUCUGGUCAUAUUGGGCUAUGUGAAAAUUGGUUUUUCUCUGUAUUCUCCAUAUGACAUUAUUUUAUAAUCGCUGGAAUAUGAAAAUAGAAUGGUGUGCAGUUCUGCCCUUGUGAGCAAUCUCUGAUGCUUAUAUAUACUAGCAGUAACGUGUAGUAUUAGGUAUGGCAAAGUAAAUUUGCUUCAACAAUCAAUUCCAGCGCAGCAAUUUUUUUAUGGGAUUUCUCUUGCAAUCUGCACUGAAUUUUGUACGCCGAUGCCAGUUUGAUGGUUUUGCUUUGAAUGGUCUUCUCAAGGAAACCGUGUUCAAUUUGUAUGUUUUGCUUUGAACGAGUCUUUCUGGAAAUCUGUAUGUGUACUUAUAUGGCUGGUUGGAAUUGUGCAAAUUGUGAUGGUUUGCUUUCUAUGAGCAACUACUUGAAUGCUGAAAUUUUAUACAGUACAUAUCAUGUCAACAACAUGUAUCUCUUUUUAUUUCACAUGUGGAUAGAGAAGUUGCCAUACAUUGUUGUCCCCUUGGCAAUAGUAUGUAAUUCUCAAAUUAACUUGCUAUCUUUGCUCAGUAGCAUUUAAUAUGACUAAUUUGAGAUCAGCAAAGAGGAAUGGGCCUGAAGAAAUACUGAUAUUGAGCUAGGUCUGCAAGGCGAUGUAUUGAGCUCUGCGUAGCCUUUGUAUGUGUUUUCGAUUCUCUUUUUUUUUUAAACAUAGCCUGUAGAUGUCCUACGGUAUAUGUUAGCACAACUACUGAAGGAUUUGCAGGUGAGCAACUGUUAUAUGAGUUUGGAUGACGGAAUAUCAGUAUUACAUCAAAAUCUACGGCUUUAUAUACUUUGUCACAUACUGCCAUAUUUCAUAUAUGACGACCAUAUCAAUCACGUGUUGUUUCUUUUUCAUUCAGAGUGUACAUUGCUUCCAGUGUAACAAGAACAGAAAAUAAGUCAUGAAUUUGUAGCAAGUGACGCCCUCAUUGGCAUUAUUUUUCUUACAUAUCCAAGAUAGUUAAAGCAUCGUGGGGACCAGGAGGCCAAGCAGUCUGUGGUGUCUCCGUCGUUGUUGCAAAGAAACAUGCCCAAACUUUGCUACAGGGAACUUUCUCUAUCGGUUCAGGUUGGACGAGCAAGACAACAUACUGCAGACUGGGAACAAGAGUAUGUUCGUCAUCAUUGAUAUGUGUUAAUACUCUCCUUGAGAUUGAUUCCUUUGCUUUCGCAAAAAAGCGUCAGAUACAUGGCGAGCUUCAAAAUAUCAGGUUGCAAAUACCAUCGUUGCUUUGGACCUUGCCAUGGAUGGAUGGACACUAAAUGACCACAAAUGCCUCUAGAUUAUUAAUAAGCGUGGUUCUACGUUCAGUGCUUUGGGCAUCUGUUUUGUCUCGGGCUGGUUCUACGUACCUGAUUUUGCUUGGAACAGCCACAGGGGCGAGGAUGUUAUAUUGAUGCAGCUUGGUUUGCUAACUAGCAAUGUUUUGUUUCUUAGACGGACAAACUUGUAUCUCAGAACCUUGAUGAAUUGUUUCAUUUGAUCAGCUUAUGUGGAAACUACUAAUUUUCAUUGCCUCUGUA